GUUGGCUUAGAAGCAGCCACUCAUUUAAAGAGUGCGUAAUAGCUCACUAGUCGAGAGAUCCUGCGCCGAAAAUGUCCGGGGCUCAAACUUACCACCGAAGCUACGGGCUUGCGUAAGCAAGCGGUAGGGGAGCGUCGUAAUCGGGCUGAAGUCGUACCGUAAGGAGCGGUGGACUGAUUACGAGUGAGAAUGUUGGCAUUAGUAGCGAGAUGUAGGUGAGAAUCCUACAGGCCGAAUAUCUAAGGUUUCCUCAGGAAGGCUCGUCCGCUGAGGGUUAGUCGGGACCUAAGCCGAGGCCGAAAGGCGUAGGCGAUGGACAACAGGUUGAUAUUCCUGUACCACUACCAUCGUUAUUAUCGAGGGUGUGACGGAGAAGGAUAGUGUGUGCUAGCGAUUGGAAAUGCUAGUCUAAGCGUUUAGGGAGUUACGGUAGGCAAAUCCGCUGUAACAAUUCUGAGGCGUGAUGGGGAAGGCCAUAUAGGCCGAAGUACAUGAUUCCAUGCUUCCAAGAAAAGCAUCUAGAGAGAGAAGUAGUGCCCGUACCGCAAACCGACACAGGUAGAUGAGGAGAGAAUCCUAAGGCCGGCGGAAGAAUUGCAGUUAAGGAACUAGGCAAAUUGACCCCGUAAGUUCGCGAGAAGGGGUGCCUGCGAGAGCAGGCCGCAGAGAAUAGGCCCAAGCAACUGUUUAGCAAAAACACAGGUCUCUGCUAAAGCGCAAGCUGAUGUAUAGGGGCUGACGCCUGCCCGGUGCUGGAAGGUUAAGGGGAACACUUAGCGCAAGCGAAGGUGUGAACUUAAGCCCCAGUAAACGGCGGCCGUAACUAUAACGGUCCUAAGGUAGCGAAAUUCCUUGUCAGGUAAGUUCUGACCCGCACGAAUGGCGUAAUGAUUUGGGCACUGUCUCAACAGCCCGCCCGGCGAAAUUGUAGUACUGGUGAAGAUGCCAGUUACCCGCAACUAGACGGAAAGACCCCAUGGAGCUUUACUGCAGCUUAAUACUGAAAUUCGGUAGUACAUGUACAGGAUAGGUGGGAGACUGAGAAAUACAGGCGUCAGCUUGUAUGGAGUCGCUGUUGGGAUACCACUCUUGUACUGCUGGGUUUCUAACCUGCGGCCGUGAAUCCGGUCGGGGGACACUGUUAGGCGGGCAGUUUGACUGGGGCGGUCGCCUCCCAAAAGGUAACGGAGGCGCUCAAAGGUUCGUUCAGCACGGACGGAAAUCGUGCAAUGAGUGUAAACGCAUAAACGAGCCUAACUGCGACACCGACGGGUGGAGCAGUAACGAAAGUUGGAGUUAGUGAUCCGGUGGUAUGUGAGUGGAAAUGCCAUCGCUCAACGGAUAAAA
rnacentral:rRNA from 1 species